CACAUUUAAACAGCAGUGCUGAGCCUUUAUGUAGUUCCAGCCCAGAGGAUUGACCAGCUGUCCACUCUUGCUGACCCUCCACAUGCCGUUCCUUCUAUUUUUCAAGGAUACAGAACCAAUGGCUCUACCCAACAUAUUCUUCUCACCACAGAUGACAAAGACACAAGGAGCCAAGACAGAUCAUUCAAGCAUAUUCAUUGCCUCUAUCUUCAUCCCAUUAAAUAACAUCCCGCCAACCAAAGCAAGUUAUCUGCAUAAGAAUAAAUAUUCCACCUACUCUACUGCAAGGCCCUGCAAGAGUCAUGAGACAAAAGGAUCCUCUGUGGACAGCACCCAAGAUGGAAACAACUGACAGUCUAUGGCCAGGGCUAUACUCUGGUGAAACUGAAAGGUGUCUGCAUGGAAGUGUCUGACUACCACCAUCCACUCAGGCAAAUGCAUUUGUUUCCCUCUAUUCAUUAUUAGAAGAGAGGAGAUUACAUACCAGACAUAUACCAAUAGGUUUUCUCUUCAUAAUACCUACGUCAUCUAGUAGCAUAACAUAAGGCAGAAUCCUUCAAAGGAUCCUGAAAAACAACUUUAAUCGGGGUUAUACUGUGUUAAGGGUCCUCAGAGCUGCAUGAGUCUUACCUGUAAAGAGGACCCAGAGGCUCACAACAUGAAAUGACUCUGGGAUGUGUAAAAAGCAUUGAUCUACAAGAGACAUUGAAAUCAUUUAGUAUAAAACCUUCACUUUAUGGAUAAAGAACAGUAGGAUGGAGGUUGCAGUGAGCCAAGAUCACUACCCAAGACGUUACAUCUUGGAGUUCCGUGGCUUGUUACGCAUUGCUGAACAUUCAAUGCCCAGGAUACAAUACUCUGACCAUGAAAAACAAUCAAGUGAAGCCUAGGACAACUUGAGCAACCAAAAGAAACUGGUUUGCACUUAUUCUGCUCUCUCCAGAAGUUCCUGGUGUGAGUAAUAAAUUUUUUCAAUUUUCAAGGUGUGUGAAGUGUUAUCAGCUUUGACAUCUGAUUUAAUACUUGAGAAAGGGCUCAUUUCCCUUCAUUGGGUGACCAUAAUCUUUAGAGAAAUGACUAAAUAUAUAGUUAAGAAGUAUGUAACUUCCUGGCUAAUGGAAGAAAAAGUGAAAUAAUAAGACAUAAUCAAUCCAAAUAAGAUAGGAAGGGGGCAACAUGGAGCAGACAGUACAGGGGAGGCAAAUGGAAUUCAAAAAAAUAUCUUACUCAAACCAAAUGUAUCAAUUAUUACAUUAAAUAUAGUCUAAAUUAUUUUGUUAAAUGAUAACAAUAUUUCAGAAUAAAACUAUUAAAUAUAUACAAAGUGAAAGGAGGAAUCUAGAGCAUAAUACUACAGAAAGGAUAACAACAAUUGACAAAGAUCUACCCAUUAUAACAUAAUGUCAAAAAUUUUAAUUUACU
rnacentral:lncRNA from 10 species